AAUCUCAUUAAUUCUAUUGAGUAAAUGAAUUUCAUUGAUUAUAUUAUCGCAUUCGGUUUCUUUUCUUCUCCCUGAUGUUUUCAUAACCCAGACUCAAAUACAAUCUCAGAGUAAGAAAACCUAAAAGAAAAGAAGCAUCUUUUUGUCUUCUUCAACUCUCUGCAGCAUCCAUGCCAUGUUUUUGAGACGUUGGUCAUGUUCGAGUAUCAAGAAAUUGCAGAUCAAACCCUAGCACCAAAACACUUCAGAAGAAUUGAAGAAUCAAAAUAUGAAACAAGGAGGUGAUCGGUAGUUGGGAUAAACCGAGGGGCCAUCAGAAAUUCGUGCGCGUGGUCAUGGAUUUAUUAGAGUUAGCGAAGUUGGGAUUGGAACUUAAGGUAAUGAUGUGAAUUGUUAAGGUACACAUGAUGGAAAGGAUUGUUAGUUUGAUACAAUCCCCGAUGAUGUGGAUUGUUAAUCUUUGUUUAAGCUACAACUUUGGCUGGAAAGGAACUUAAGGUAAUGAUGUGAAUUGUUGGACUUCUGUGAAGUAUUCUUCAGAAUCAAUGUCUAAGUGUGUGUUUGGUUGCAAUCUAAUUCUAUCAUCAUCUAUUAAAGGUAUUCGCAUACUUCCCAUAUUUAUGAUUCUCAGCGUUACUCCAUAUUUCCUUUUUGAAUUCACUAGAUAUAAUCGAGGGAACAAUAGGAAGAAAAAAUGACAAUUAAAUACAAGCUUAAAUUUGUUGUAAGUUUAGAAGUCUAAAGAUUCUUUAACUCAGACUUAUUUUUCCAUUAAUCUUCCCUUUUGAAUUCACUAGAUAUAAUCGAGGGAACAAUAGGAAGAAAAAUUGACAAUCAAUUAAAAGAUUAAAUUUGUUGGAAGUUUAGAAUUCUAAUGAUUCUCUAACUCAGACUUAUUUUUCCAUUAAUCUAUUGCAAGUAAAUGUUCAUUUCAAAGACCAGGAAAACAAACGAGGAAACAUGAUGAAGUUUUGGAAGAUGACAAAAUGGUGCAAACUCUUGGGAAUUAUGCGAUGGUUCAUGAUAACAUGUUCAAAGCGAUCAGAGAACUUUGUGUCUUCAAUAUGAUUAGAAGCAUAAUGAGCAUGUCCACAAAUGCGAGUUCCAAUUCAAAGAGUUUUGGGAGAGCAAGUUGGCUUAUUGGUACAUUUGUUGAAGCUAUUGAGGGCUUGGAGAUGGGGAGAUGAUACUUAAUUUAGGUCGGCAGACAAGAAAAAUUAUUACAUGACUGUUAUCGACUUCAGUCAUGCUCUAGCAAAGGAUCCUUGACGGCUCUAACCUCCUCCCCAGGACAGUAAAGUCUUGACCUUUUGUUAUCGACUUCAGUAAUGCUCUAGAUAAGUAUCCUUGACGGCUCUAACCUCCUUCCCCAGGACAAUAAAGUCUUAACCUUUUGUUAGCUCUGCCUGCAAAAGAUACCCGAGGCAACCUCGGCAUCUACCUUUGACGCAGAAUAAGCGCCAUGAAGACUCACAUCUUUGUUUCUUUUAGGAUUCAAACAAGUAAAACAAUACCUACCAGUAAUCGUCGUCGCUUACUUACAUUCCAUCUCUGCUUUCUUUUAGUAUGCACCCAUUUCUGCAUUUUCUUCUGGUGUGUUUUCCUUACUGCAUUUCAUUUUGAUGUGUUUCUCUUUUUGCAUUUUUAGUACCAAUCUUUCAUCACUAUCCAGGCACACAGUGGCAUUGUUGGAUCUGAUUUAUACCCUAAGUUAAAUUGUUGGAAAUCCACCAUGUAACCAUGGUGAUAUGAUUAUCUAAUUUAUGUUCCUUUAAUUUA